GAAAGACUCCUGCUGCUUCCUACUAGACGUGAGGCUUGCACUGCUCCCGCCAUGGAGCUCAGAUCAUGCCCUGGAGAAGCAGGUGACAUCGCGGAAUUUUCCUGUGCUGGCUUGUGUUUGACACCAUGCCUGACACAUUGGGGGUGCUCAGUAGACCUGUGUGAGAUGGACAGCCUCCCGUACAGAUGGACGGACAGAUGUACAGCCCCGUGGAGAUGCCCUGUGUAAGCCACUGAAGCCUCUGGCCAACAGCAGUGGGAACCUGAGACGUGUCCACAAGCAUGCAUGGGAGCUUGGAAGUGGAUCCUUCAGCCCCAGCCAAGCCUUCAGACGAUGCAGCCUCAGGGACAGUAUGACUGCAGCCUCAUGAGACCCUGAGCCAGAAACACCCCUCCAAGCCACUCCCAGAUGCCUGGCCCUCAGAACCUGGGAGGUAAUAAAUAUUUAUGGCUGUUUGAAGCUGCUGUAUCGGGGGACAAUUUGUUACACAGUAAUAGCUAACUGGUGCAGUCCUGGGACUCUUAGCAGUUUGGAGUAUCAGUUAUUUUGCCAAGGCGGGGAAGUUAACAGUGGUCAUUGCAGCAGCUGCACUUGGGGACCACAAUAAAGAAGCUUUCUCAGACUGGUUUGAACAAAGUGGUGAAUUCUCUGCAAGGACACAGAGGUGUCUCUCAAAACCCAAGGAUGGGACAGCAGGCCUCAAGAAGAACUGGAACCUCUGUCCCUUCUGUGCUUCUUUUUACUCCUGUGUUCUCUGCUUCUUGGAGCACUUGGCAGUUGGGAAGUGGCCAUUUCAAUUCUCGUGGUCAAGAAACCAGCUCAGAAAUAACCCAACCAACACAGGUGGGGUCAGGUGUCCAUCCUGGCUCCAUUUGUCAUGGCGGGAGAUGGUGAUGAAGAGAAACAUCCAGGACCAUUGGUAGGGCACCCGAAUGAGAUUCCAGGAGAGGCCAGUUCUAAGAGAAGGGUACUAGAAAGAUACCCAUUGAAGUCAAUACCACAUGUGGCACAUCCUCCUUUCAGGUGGCAAGUGUGUAGCCAAAGCAAGGUUCAGGGUCCAUAUUUGAAAGUCAGAAACUGAAUAAACUGUUUUCUCCCACCCCGAGCACUGUGGGGAACUCUGCUCACAAAUCCACCAUCCACCAUCACCAGCCGUGCUCAUCUGACCAUUCAUGCAGGCUCACACUUGACCUGAUGUGGGUUCUGUCUCCUUUGCUUGAGAAUUGAAAGGCCUGGGAGAUGCAAAAGCUUUAGGCUCCAGCCAUCUCCCCAUGUCAGGUAGGCCUUUUGCCUAGUGUAUCCAGUUGGUAAUGCUGCAGAGAUGCAUGAAGCUGGAGUCAGAGGCCACCUGUAGUGCUGCCCUGACUUCAGACCUGAGCCCAGCCCAGCAGCAGAGAGGGGGCUGGGAGCCAGAGGAGGCCUCACAGUAACAGCACAGACAGGUGGGGGCCCACAACAGGCCACAUGUGUUCAAACUCGAGUGUGGGCAGAGGAGCAUGGGAAGCUCAGAGCCCUGAGCUCACCCCACACCCAACACGAGUGGGGUCACCCAAAAUCAGCCUGUCAGCACUGUCCCAGCAGCCAGUCGCAUGCUACAUUAACAAAUUUUGCACAGGCCAGCAAGCAGGAUCGCUCACCAGCCACCCUCCUGAACUGGCCUAUGGGGCCCCAGGAUGAUGCCAUAGCCACAAGUCUGGAGUUCCUCAAAGUACCUGGUCAGCACAACUCAGUUAAACAAUGGGCAAAAGACCUGAACAGACACUUCGCCAGAGAAGAUGUACAGAUGCAAGUAAGCAUUUGAAAAGGUGCCCCACAUCGUAUGUCGUUAGGGAAUGGUCCAAUCCAGAACACUGAUGGCACCAAAGGCUGCUGAGCAUGUGGAGCAGCAGAACUCUCAUUCACUGCUGGUGAGAAAAAUGGCGCAGCCCCAAUAGGGAACCCUAAUGCAGACUCUGGACUUCACUGGAAAUGACGUGUCAGUGUAGCUGCGUCAGUUGUAACAAAUGCACCAGUCUGGUGGGCGUGUUGAUAACCGGGGCUGCGCACGUGGGGAGAGAGGACCUGUGGGAAUGCUCUACUUUCCACUCAUUUUUGCUGUGAACUUAAAACUGCUCUUACAAAAUAACAUUGUUUGUUGUUGUUGUUGUUGUUGUUGUUGUUGUUGUUUUUAAGUAUCUAGUCAGCUCCACACAUGACCCGGGCAGAGUGGGAAGUUGUAGAGUGCCCCAAGGAGAGAAAUGGAACCAGGUCUCAUGUGGGGCCAAGUGUGGGCUCCCUGUCCUCUCAGCUGGUCCCAGGAACUGAAGGGAAAUUUAGACAACUUGGAGAAAGACACUCUAGGGCUCGGGGCAAAGGGUGGUGUUGAUGAGAACCAUAUUUUUUUAUUGCUGGUGUAAGCACUUGUAUUUUUCUGAUUUUCCACUGGUUCGAUAAUAAGGGUAAAAGACAAUAAAGCAUACUUUUUAAGCUUUUGUUUAGAAGUUUUUUUUCCAAUAAAACUUCCCCAAAA
rnacentral:lncRNA from 10 species